UACGUAGGGCGCAAGCGUUGUCCGGAAUUAUUGGGCGUAAAGAGCUCGUAGGCGGCCUGUCGCGUCUGCUGUGAAAUCCCGGGGCUCAACCCCGGGCCUGCAGUGGAUACGGGCUGGCUGGAGGCAGGCAGGGGAGAACGGAGUUCCUGGUGUAGCGGUGAAAUGCGCAGAUAUCAGGAGGAACACCGGUGGCGAAGGCGGUUCUCUGGGCCUGUUCUGACGCUGAGGAGCGAAAGCGUGGGGAGCGAACAGG
rnacentral:rRNA from 1 species